rfam:Salmo salar isolate Sally breed double haploid chromosome ssa09, whole genome shotgun sequence.
UGCAUUUGCUACUGUAAGUCGCUCUGGAUAAAAGCGUCUGCUAAAUGACUUAAA